AUCACCGUAGCUUAAUGGUAAAGCCCCCGAAAGGGGUGAAGGAGGUUCGAUUCCUCUCGGUGGUA
rfam:Phytophthora megakarya strain zdho120 scaffold_12622, whole genome shotgun sequence.